UUUCCGGAAGUUCGACCUGGACAAGUCGGGCAGCAUGAGCGCCUACGAGAUGCGGCUGGCGCUGGAGGCCGCAGGUUUUAAGCUGAACAAGAAGCUCCACGAGCUCAUCAUCACCCGCUACGCGGAGCCGGACCUGGCCCUCGACUUCGACAGCUUCUCUGCUGCUUGGUGCGCCUGGAGACCAUGUUCCGGUUUUUCCAAGCGCUGGACGCGGAUAAGGACGGAGUCGUCGCCUUCGAUUUGCUGAAGUGGCUGCAGCUCACCAUGUUCGCCUGAAGCGGAGCCGCCGAUCGCCAGCGCCUUCGGAAGCUUCUCCGCCGGGAUUUUCCCUCCCCCACUGCUUCGCAUCCGCGGAAACGGACUCGCUUCCCGCCUCGGCCGCUCCGGGAGC